rnacentral:misc_RNA from 1 species
CCCAGAGAUACAAUUGGAAAAUCAAUAAACCACUGGCUCCAUCAAUUUUAAAAGAUUUAUGCUUCGAAAAACAGCGGUAAAAAUAAAUGCAGACAAAAUGAAGAUUUCACCACCAUCAUCAUCAGAACGGAAAUGUUAUUCUCAUCCAUAGCUGUAAAAGCUAUGUAGGAAGGUGUCCUAAGAUCUUCCAAGUUUCAUCAUUUGAUG